rnacentral:lncRNA from 1 species
AGCCUAACAGUUAAACCACCUGUCACCAUCUACCUGUGCUGCAUCCUCUCUGCUCCAGCCCUUCUUCAAACCCAGAAGCUUCUGCUGGGAAAGAACCUGUUUCGUGUUGCUUAAAAUUGUGCUCAUGCUGGAGAAUGUAAAACAUACUUACAACCUGCAGAGCCUCUUGAAGAAGGUUCUGGUAACAGUUUCAGUUGCAACUUGAGGUUUAUGAAGGAAAAGGCACGGCAAUGACUCCUUUUCUGUGUCCCACCAAGUCAAAGUUCACAACCGACUGGCAAAACAAUCUGUGUGUUGGUUUGCACUCUGAAGGUAUUAAUAACUUGGGAGAUUCCUGUCAAGUCUCCAGAUCCAGAAGUCUCUAGCUUCUUAGAAACACUAACUGGAAGAAAAUCCAAGAGAUCCACAAGAAUUACUUUGCUUGCUACUUGGGACAUUUGGAAGGCAUCAAUGAAAGCCAUGUCAACAUAUCGUCUUAAAAGCCUGAGUCCUGGAAUAGGAAGACAUGUGGAGCAGAGUGAUAACAGGCCAGCCACAGCCAUCGAUGCCUACACCACUAAAUCCAUCACUAACAAUUUUGGCAGGUAAACUAAUCAGUAUGUUUUAUGAAUGUUUUUGAAAUGAAUGAAGGUUAGAAGCUAAAAUAAAGAUCAAGACCUUCUUAAGUCA